GAUGAACGCUAGCGGCAGGCUUAAUACAUGCAAGUCAAGGGGGUAGCAAUACAACCGGCGCACGGGUGAGUAACGCGUACACAACAUACCAUAUACUGGAGUAUAGCUUUGGGAAACUGAAGGUAAUCCUCCAUAACAUUGCGAGAGGGCAUCUGAUUGCAAUUAAAGUUUCGGCGGUAUAUGAUUGGUGUGCGUUUGAUUAGCUAGUUGGUAGGGUAACGGCCUACCAAGGCGACGAUCAAUAGCUGGCGUGAGAGCGCGACCAGCCACACUGGAACUGAGACACGGUCCAGACUCCUACGGGAGGCAGCAGUAGGGAAUAUUGGACAAUGGAGGAAACUCUGAUCCAGCCAUGCCGCGUGAUAGAUGAAGGCCCUUUGGGUUGUAAAUAUCUUUUAUCUGGGAAGAAACACUCCUAUUCUUAGGAACUUGACGGUACCAGAGGAAUAAGCACCGGCUAACUCCGUGCCAGCAGCCGCGGUAAUGUA
rnacentral:rRNA from 1 species